UACGGAGGUGGCAAGCGUUGCUCGGAAUCACUGGGCGUAAAGGGCGCGUAGGCGGGGAGGUAAGUCGGGUGUGAAAGCCCUCGGCUCAACCGAGGAACGGCGCCCGAAACUGCCGCUCUUGAGUCCCGGAGAGGAAGGUGGAAUUCCCGGUGUAGCGGUGAAAUGUGUAGAGAUCGGGAGGAACACCGGUGGCGAAGGCGGCCUUCUGGACGGUGACUGACGCUGAGGCGCGAAAGCGUGGGGAGCAAACGGG
rnacentral:rRNA from 1 species